UGCCUUUGUGUUACCCAUUCAUUUUUUUUUUAUGAUGAAUGUGGCGUCAAACAAGGCAUACAGUAUACUCCUUGUCUCUCAUAGUGCCCUGAAGGUCUAAUGCCCUUGGCAUGGAGUCACAUGGGCACAGUA